GCUUACGGCCAUACCAGCCUGAAUACGCCCGAUCUCGUCCGAUCUCGGAAGCUAAGCAGGGUCGGGCCUGGUUAGUACUUGGAUGGGAGACCGCCUGGGAAUACCAGGUCUGGGCC
ensembl:rRNA 5S_rRNA 5S ribosomal RNA